AGCUUUAAGUGGAGGGUGGAUUUUUUUUCCCUCGGUUUGUCUUGUGUUUCGCACCCUGAAAGAAUGUUGUGCCUGCUCUUUUUUCUGGUGACUGCUAUUCACGCUGAACUGUGUCAACCAGAUGCAGAAAAUGCUUUUAAAGUAAGACUGAGUAUCAGAACAGCUCUGGGAGAUAAAGCAUAUGCCUGGGAUACAAAUGAGGAAUAUCUUUUCAAAGCAAUGGUGGCUUUCUCCAUGAGGAAGGUUCCCAACAGAGAAACAACAGAGUAAGUAAAUAGUAAAAAG